GGCCGCCUGGCGUAAUGGCAACGCGUCUGACUACGACGUCCCCGUCUUUGGUCCUGCAAAGAACGGCCCGUAAUCAGGAGAUUGCAGGUUCGACCCCUGCGGUGGUCA
rnacentral:tRNA from 1 species